rnacentral:rRNA from 1 species
UAAGGGCUCACCAAGGCGACGAUCCCUAGCUGGUCUGAGAGGAUGAUCAGCCACACUGGAACUGAGACACGGUCCAGACUCCUACGGGAGGCAGCAGUGGGGAAUAUUGCACAAUGGGCGCAAGCCUGAUGCAGCCAUGCCGCGUGUGUGAAGAAGGCCUUCGGGUUGUAAAGCACUUUCAGUAGGGAGGAAGGUUCAUGCGUUAAUAGCGUAUGGAUUUGACGUUACCUACAGAAGAAGCACCGGCUAACUCCGUGCCAGCAGCCGCGGUAAUACGGAGGGUGCGAGCGUUAAUCGGAAUUACUGGGCGUAAAGCGCAUGCAGGUGGUUUGUUAAGUCAGAUGUGAAAGCCCGGGGCUCAACCUCGGAAUUGCAUUUGAAACUGGCAGACUAGAGUACUGUAGAGGGGGGUAGAAUUUCAGGUGU